GUGUGACUUUUAUUUCCUCAUCAGAUCAUGGAGCACACUCGAGCCAUGCCAGUCAUAUCGUCCUCAACACAAACGUGUUGGCUGUUGGUGUUAGUGCUGGUGACAUGGGUAGAUUGUGCUUUUGAACACACCCAGCCCAGCUCCAUGACUGUAAAGCCAGGAGAGUCUCUGACAAUCACCUGCAAAGUGACUGGGGCAUCUAUUACAGAUAGCAGCUACUAUGCAACAGCAUGGAUUCGUCAGGCAGCAGGGAAACCCCUGGUUUGGAUCAACACACUCCUCUAUCAGAAAACCAAAUAUGAAAAUAAUGCCCUGAAGAACAAGUUCAGCAUCUCCAGAGACACCUCCAGUAACACAGUCACCCUGCAAGGCCUGAAUCUGCAGCCUGAAGACACAGCUGUGUACUACUGCGCUCGUUACCCACGGCAUUACAAUAAGCUACAAUGCUGUACCAAAACCUCCCACACAUAACACACCAGACAUAGAAAUCUAAAAAUAUUAAUAUAACAUAAAAAGUUGCCAACAUUUGCCAACACACAUUUUAAGAAAUUUUAAAU